ensembl:lncRNA
GUCUACUCUGAUUUUGUAUACAUUUUGGGUCUAAUAUAUUAUUCAGAUCAUACCAUGUUCACAAGUAUUGUGCUUUCUGGAACCGUACUAUACAAACUUCCUAAGUGUUUUUUCUUGUUGUGGUCCGACAUAGACUGACUGUAACACACAAGGUCAUUAAGAACAGAAGUAACUAGUUUGCAGGUGAUUCCAGAUGUCUGAGAUGGGGAUUGUUGGAGGACUUCCUCACACUUGAAGGCCAGUGAUAUUUAUGGACGCAAGAAAAAAUAUAGUGCUUCUAUAUCAUCCAUCAAGUUUAGUUCAAAUCGAGAAUCUACAAAAUAAAAUCAGCAUCAAAAUUAAUUUAAAAUAGAGGCCGGCCCGGUGGCACAGCGGUUAAGUGCGCACAUUCCACUUUGGCAGCCCAGGGUUCGCCAGUUCGGAUCCCAGGUGUAGACCUAUGCACCGCUUGUCAAGCCAUGCUGUGGCAGGCAUCCCACAUAUAAAGUAGAGGAAGAUGGGCAUGGAUGCUAGCUCAUGGCCAGUCUUCCUCAGCAAAAAAAGGAGGAUAGGCAGAAGAUGUUAGCUCAGGGCCAGUCGUCCUCAAAAAAAAUUUUUUUUUAAAUAAGGCUUUGAUGCAUCAGAAAUACCCUUUCACGUUUGUUGGACUUGUCACCUGGAUGAAUAUGCCUUGCUGCCAGCAAAACUAUGCUUUCUUAAAGUUUUAAUGAUUUUACAUAAAAUACAUGUUCACUCAUUCAUUCUCCAAAUAUUUAUUGAGUAACUACUCCUGUGUGUAAGGGACUAUGCUAGUUCCUGGGGAAAUAGUGGUGAGUAAAAACAGACCCAGUCCCCUCUCCCACUGGGUAGUGUCUUCACUGUCCCACAGGUUCCUCCUUGGUCACAUGUUCAAAAUUAAACUCCCUCCCUCCCCAUCUGCUUCUUUUCUCUAUUCCCUGUCACAGGUAAUGAUACCAUGACCUACUCAGUCACUUGAGCUGGACACCUGGGUCUCAUGUUUGAGUCUAUCCUCCAUACUAACUACUCUGCAAAUCCAAUUUUAUUUUGUCAAUAUCUCUUGAAUCCGUCCCCUUUUUUACCUCUUUGCCACUGUGUUAGUUCAAGGUUUAUCAUCUAUUAUAUGGACUAAUUCCAGAACUUUCUAAAAAGUUUGCCUAUUGUGAACUUGCCUCCCUGGAACGUCCUCUACCCUGCUGCCUGUGUUUCAGUAUAAAAUGCAAAUCUGUUUAUGUAACGUCUCCUAAGUCACUCCUCACUGCCUGCCAUGCAAACAAGAGCAGGUGGCCAAACAGCACACUCACAGAGCCUGCUGAGCAGGGUUCGCGGAGAAACUCAUGGAGAAGGACAAGUAGCAGCUAGUGGAUACUCUGUUGCCUUUUUAUGAUCAGAAAUAAUGAAAUGCUAGAUGUUCUAGACUCCAGGAAAGGGAUCCUGAAAUUGGACUGGGCUUUUUAGUUGUGUAAUCAGCAGGCACUAACCCCUCCCCUGGUGUGAUUCAAAGGCUGUGUACUGAGAUAUGGCAAAGCCUUGGGUUUGGCCUGGUUUACCAGCUCCAUGUCUGUAGGAAUGGAGAGCCCCCUCUAGCCAUGAUUGGCAGCUAGAGGACAAGCUUUGCCGAUGCAGGUGAGUGACAUAACUUGCCAGAAAAGGGUUUAUCCAUCAGUUCAUAGUUGGGCAAGAGCUAGCCUCUUCCAGGGCGUGAUGGGAGAACUGAGAUCCCAGCCUUGCUACUGGCCAGGAUUGUGGGUCUUCAGCACUAGAGCACUGCUGGUUUCCAUGGAACGUUAAUGGGAGCCACUUCCUUUUCUGGACUGCAGAGGGUCAGUCUUGGACAAGUUAAUCCUUCCUGAUUACCACUUAUAGGAUGAAGUUCAAACUUCAUAGGGUGGCACAUGGCAUUCAAGAUCUGAACUCUCGGAGAAUAAAAGAUAAUGUAAGCUUAUUAAUUGCCAUCUACCUUCUUCCCCUGCUCAUCAUUACUUUAUACUCUGUAAUUACCCAAGUGACUUGCAUUUCCAAAAACAAGUUAUGCUUUUUCUUUUCCUCUUCACGUUUGCACAUGCUGUUCCCCUCUCCAGAAUGUUUUUCCUUUCCUUGUCUGAUGAAUUCUUGUUUACCUUUCAAGAUCCAGCUAAAGCUUUUCGUGUCCGUGAAACCUUUCCAGUUCCCUCUCCCAAAUCUGUGCUGCCCUGCCAUGUUGAUUAAAACUCUGUUCUGUUUCCCCUUCACAUUUGUAUAUAUCUCUGUUGCUGUACUGUUGGAUAACAGUGAUUUGUUCAUAUGCUUUCUGCUCACCAGACUCUGAGCCCCUUGAGGGCAGCACCUAGACAGGGCCUGGCACAAAGCAUGGCAGGUGGAAAAUGAACAUGUGCUGAAAUCUAUAGAAUGGAUGGCUAUUCUUCCAAAGCCUUUGCAACCUCAUGGCAGCAGCCUAAUUCUUUUGGAAGCAGGUGCUAGAAUGACCCAGAAUCAGUCUCUUGCAAGCAACAGCACUGGACAAAGGAAAGAGUCUGGAUGUUAACGACAAAGCGUGUUGUGUAGGGUGGCGUGUUGGUGCUCAGAACUUCAUCCUAGCCUUGAGAUGACAAGAUCAUAUGAUUUUAAAGUUGGGCCACAAUAUUGGUGCUGGGCAUGUAGCUGCUAUUUUGUUUUUGUUUGCUAUGCUAUUCUUAUUCACUUUUAAAACAAAUUAUUCUUAAGAAAUCGUAUUGAGUAGGGCUGAAGGACAUUUUGAUGUUUGUGAAGAUAAUUUCUUUCUCUUUCUCCUGUCUGUUCAUUAUUUUCCACCGUUGCCACUACCAUCUAUUCCAGAUGACAAUGACUUCUUGCCUAGAAUUCUGCAAUAGUCUCUUAUUGGCCAUCUUGUAUCUAAUCUGGCCUCCGCUUCAGGCCACUGCUACAUUGCAGUUUGAGUUAUUGUUUUAAAAUGCAAAUCAGAUUAUGCCGUCACUUUGCUUAAUGCCAUGGAUUAGUUUCCCAUUGAUUUCAGGAUAAGAUAAACCCUUUAGGGCCCUCAUGGCUCUGCCUGGUCUGGUGCCUGCCUGCGGCUCCAGCAUCAGUUUCCACAAUGUUCCCUCUCACCCUUUACACUUUGCCUUACUGACCUACUUUCAGCUCCUGAUAAAUGAUGUGCUCUCUUUCCACAGAGCUUUUUAACACACUGUUCCUUUUCCAGGAAGACUCUGGUCUCUUCUUACCAGCUCCUAAUAAAUGGUGUGCUCUCUCUUUCCAUGAGCUUUUCAACACACUGUUCCUUUUCCUGGAAGACUCUGGUCUCUUCUUACCAAGUUCACUCAUGUUAAGCCCUUAGAUCCCAUUUGAGCAUCAUUUCCUCAGAGGGGCCUUCCUCAUAGCACCAGUUAUUUUGGCUCAGCUGCUGGAGGAAAACAUUUUUUCGUCUUUGUAACACUUUGGAGCCAUAUGUUUAGGAAACCAGCCAGUCGAUAAAGAUCCCAAACAACCUCUUGCCAGAGACAGUCAUAGUUUUUUAACCUCUUGGAACUCUAACCAGGAAAAAGAUUUCAGCCAGAUUAUAGAUACUAGAUUAGUGUUUAAUGUGGGCAGUUAGAACAAUUAUUCCUUGACUUGAAACUUUGUGACUUUUCUGGGAAAUUAGUAAAGAAUGUUAAUUUAGUAAUCCUCUAAGACUUCUUUUUGAGAUUGUAAUCAUAUUUCAUGGAAAUGGGCUUGUAACAGAAGUAGCAAAAUGCUUGCCAAUAUUCAGGAGGAAGGUUGUAACAGGUCAAAAAUUAAAAGUAAAUUACAGUCAUUAAAUUCUUAGGGCUUUUUAUAAUUUCCUUGCUGACCUUUUCCAUAAUGAACGUAUAGAGGCAGGGAAGGACUUAGAAGAAGGUUUGGGUUUAGGGAAAUAAAUAGUGAUAAGGAUUUAUAAGAUGUGAAGUGGAUAAAGUGAGAGCUAAGAAACCUUGGGGGAGAAAGACAGACUAUUAUCAUAUUAAUAAAAAUAGUGGCAAUGAAAUGUCAUAGAUUGUCAUUUCUUUUAAAAGAGACUGCCUGGGGGCUGGCCCCGUAGCCGAGUGGUUAAGUUUGCGUGCUCCGCUGCUGGCGGCCCAGUGUUUCGUUGUUUCGAAUCCUGGGCGUGGACAUGGCACUGCUCAUCAAACCACGCUGAGGCAGCGUCCCACAUACCACAACUAGAAGGACCCACAACGAAGAAUAUACAACUAUGUACCAGAGGGGCUUUGGGGAGAAAAAGGAAAAAAAUAAAAUCUUGAAAAAAAAAAAAAAAGAGACUGCCUGAAGGAAACAUAAAUUUUGUAUUAUACCGUGGGAAUCCUGGUAUAGCAAUCUCCUUUCAUGUUUCCAGAUGCUUGAGAGAUGCUGUAAGCAGAACAGUGGAGGGGCGUGGAGCAUGUGGGGACAAGAGGGGCAGAUGUGGGGAAGAGGCCACGGGAAAAGUUAGGGAAAACAGGGAAGAGAUCG